rnacentral:rRNA from 1 species
CCUACGGGUCGCAGCAGUGGGGAAUAUUGGACAAUGGGCGAAAGCCUGAUCCAGCCAUGCCGCGUGUGUGAAGAAGGCCUUCGGGUUGUAAAGCACUUUCAGUGGGGAAGAAAGCCUUGGGGCUAAUACCCUCGAGGAAGGACAUCACCCACAGAAGAAGCACCGGCUAACUCCGUGCCAGCAGCCGCGGUAAUACGGAGGGUGCGAGCGUUAAUCGGAAUUACUGGGCGUAAAGCGCGCGUAGGCGGUCUGAUAAGCCGGUUGUGAAAGCCCCGGGCUCAACCUGGGAACGGCAUCCGGAACUGUCAGGCUAGAGUGCAGGAGAGGAAGGUAGAAUUCCCGGUGUAGCGGUGAAAUGCGUAGAGAUCGGGAGGAAUACCAGUGGCGAAGGCGGCCUUCUGGACUGACACUGACGCUGAGGUGCGAAAGCGUGGGUAGCAAACAGGAUUAGAUACCCUGUGUC